GUUUUAAUAGUUUAAAAAAAACUUUGGUCUUGUAAACCAAAAAUGAAAAUAAUUUCUUAAAGCU
rnacentral:tRNA from 2 species